UGAAAGGGGGCGCAAGCUCUUGCUAUUAGAUGAGCCUAAAUCAGAUUAGCUAGUUGGUGGGGUAAAGGCCCACCAAGGCGACGAUCUGUAACUGGUCUGAGAGGAUGAUCAGUCACACCGGAACUGAGACACGGUCCGGACUCCUACGGGAGGCAGCAGUGGGGAAUAUUGGACAAUGGGGGCAACCCUGAUCCAGCCAUGCCGCGUGUGUGAAGAAGGCCUUUUGGUUGUAAAGCACUUUAAGCAGGGAGGAGAGGCUAAUGGUUAAUACCCAUUAGAUUAGACGUUACCUGCAGAAUAAGCACCGGCUAACUCUGUGCCAGCAGCCGCGGUAAUACAGAGGGUGCGAGCGUUAAUCGGAAUUACUGGGCGUAAAGCGAGUGUAGGUGGCUCAUUAAGUCACAUGUGAAAUCCCCGGGCUUAACCUGGGAACUGCAUGUGAUACUGGUGGUGCUAGAAUAUGUGAGAGGGAAGUAGAAUUCCAGGUGUAGCGGUGAAAUGCGUAGAGAUCUGGAGGAAUACCGAUGGCGAAGGCAGCUUCCUGGCAUAAUAUUGACACUGAGAUUCGAAAGCGUGGGUAGCAAACAGGAUUAGAUACCCUGGUAGUCCACGCCGUAAACGAUGUCUACUAGCCGUUGGGGUCCUUGAGACUUUAGUGGCGCAGUUAACGCGAUAAGUAGACCGCCUGGGGAGUACGGCCGCAAGGUUAAAACUCAAAUGAAUUGACGGGGGCCCGCACAAGCGGUGGAGCAUGUGGUUUAAUUCGAUGCAACGCGAAGAACCUUACCUGGUCUUGACAUAGUGAGAAUCUCUCAGAGAUGAGAGAGUGCCUUCGGGAACUCACAUACAGGUGCUGCAUGGCUGUCGUCAGCUCGUGUCGUGAGAUGUUGGGUUAAGUCCCGCAACGAGCGCAACCCUUUUCCUUAUUUGCCAGCGGGUUAAGCCGGGAACUUUAAGGAUACUGCCAGUGACAAACUGGAGGAAGGCGGGGACGACGUCAAGUCAUCAUGGCCCUUACGACCAGGGCUACACACGUGCUACAAUGGUAGGUACAGAGGGUUGCUACACAGCGAUGUGAUGCUAAUCUCAAAAAGCCUAUCGUAGUCCGGAUUGGAGUCUGCAACUCGACUCCAUGAAGUCGGAAUCGCU
rnacentral:rRNA from 1 species